UUUGUGCGGCCGACUAUUGGCGCCGUGUCUUGCCAUUUGUGUGAGCUAUCUUACUUUGCCUUUCAAGUGCUUGCGUGAUGUUACCUGACCUAUGGGUAUUGGUGCUUCAUACAUAGUUGCCUCGUGGUGGACGCCUUUGGGUGUGCUGCUGCGGCCGUAUGGCGAUUGUGGCGUUGCCUCGUGGUGCUGUUUCUUCUGGCCGGUGCUAUCAAGGCAGCCUUGCUCUCGUUAUUGGUUUUGGAUGUCGCUCAUGAUAUAUAUCCUCGUGGCCCAUUUGGUUGCCUCGGGGCCUGACCCUAAGAACGCUCUCCGACUUUGAGAACAUCGUUGAACGAAUGUUGCCUCUACCUUUCCACAACUAGUGGCAGGAUUACGCAGCAUACUCGAGUCCGAUCCCCAAAUAAGUCGGACGAGCAAGACCCUAAGAAUGCUCUCCGACUUUGAGAACAUCGUUGAAGGAAUGUUGCCUCUACCUUUCCACAUCAAGUGGCAGGAGUACGCAGCAUACUCUAUUCCGAUCCCCAAAUAAGUCGGAUGAGCUUGGCCCGCUCAACAGCGACAACCGGCCCGAUUGUUGCCUCUGCAUUGCCACGCAAGUGGCGGUGGGUGGG
rnacentral:misc_RNA from 1 species